UACGGGGGGGGGCAAGCGUUGUUCGGAAUUACUGGGCGUAAAGGGCUCGUAGGCGGCCAACUAAGUCAUACGUGAAAUCCCUCGGCUUAACCGGGGAACUGCGUCUGAUACUGGAUGGCUUGAGUUCGGGAGAGGGAUGCGGAAUUCCAGGUGUAGCGGUGAAAUGCGUAGAUAUCUGGAGGAACACCGGGUGGCGAAGGCGGCAUCCUGGACCGAUACUGACGCUGAUGAGCGAAAGCCAGAGGAGCAAACGGG
rnacentral:rRNA from 1 species